CUGGCGGGAGGGGGUGACGUGGGGGCUGGGCUAGGGACCGGCUCGCCAGACGGGGGCGGAGGCGGUUUUGGCGGGCUCCCGGCGGGGCUCGAGCCAGGCGGGGGCGAGCACCGCGCUGGGUAUUAGGCGGCCUCCUAGCGUCUCUCUUCAGUAGCGCGCUCCCUCAUCGCCCCGCCGCUGCUCCGCCUGAGGGGAGCGGAGCAGAGCUGUGGUGUCUGCAUCUUACCUAGCGCCCCUGGACGGGACACCGAUGGCUUUUAUCUCAAGGAACUGAUUUUGAGGGAUGGACACAGUUCACAGUGUGGAGUGGCACAUCAGAACAAAAGAACACAGAGGUGGCAUGGACACUGGAACACCAAUCAUUUUCAACAGAAAAAGUGAGGGACACCAAAUUAGUGCAGAACAUAGAUAAUUUUGGCAUUAAAAUGAGUGACGUCCCUUGAAAUGUGUUAUAUGCAAAAGGAGACAAAACAAGACAGAAAAUGUUUGUACUAGUGCUGAAUCAAAACUCGGCGGAUGGCACUCUCAUCUGUGAACACAAGACUGUACCAACUUCAUUCUAAAUCAGCAGUUCUCAACUCAAGAAUCUUCACAGCCGUGCCUUGGGGAAUGAAGCCCAAAGCUAGACAAGUUAAGUCCAUGCUGUAUUGCUCAUAUUAGGCAGGGAUCCUGCUCCCAUUAAACUCACUGUGAGUUUUGCUAUAACUACUAUUGGAACAGGAUUGGGCCCAUGGGUAAAGUUUGGGGGGGGGGAGUGUGGGGGAUAUUCCCCCCCCCCAAAACUGCAAGCCUUGGGCAGGCAUGGAAUUUGCCUCUCUAUGCAUAGCCCCAUUGGUCUCACUGGAGCUGCCCCUCCAAAUAUGGUAGUCAAACUACAGCUAUGAUUUAGGCCACUAUUACUAUUUAUUUAGCCAGUGCUAAACUGCUAAGGAAAUAGGUCUUGGUCAUAUGCUGCUGGACCAAGUGAGGGAAGUAAACCCCAGAGUAAAGGAACCUUCACUGAAAAUCCCCUGCCACCAGCCAUGCCCAUUUAAGCAGGGAGCUGGCACCUGAGGCACCUCAGUUAAUCUCAAAAGCCAUGUUUUCACACAAGAAGGGACAUAGUUUCUGAAGCAGGCAGGGCCCAAACCAUUUUAGGGCUUUGGUUUAUCUGAUUUUAUAUGGCUUGUUAACCAACUUAUUUUUGGCAUAUGGUGAUAAGUUUUGAUAUAUUAAAGUGCCAUUCUCCUCUGAAAAAUGUCUUGGCAACUUCUUACUUAGAUCUACCCCUUUGCAUGUAUUCAGUCAUGCUGUACUGGCUAACGUCAUAGAUUAAAAUGUUUUUUUUACUGAUAUUCCCCUUUCCCCCCACCAUUCUUGUAUCCCUGCUG